AAGGUGAUGCCUGCCCGGUGACCCGAUGUUCAACGGCCGCGGUAUCCUAACCGUGCAAAGGUAGCGCAAUCAAUUGUCCCGUAAAUCGGGACCCGUAUGAAUGGCUAAACGAGGUCUUAACUGUCUCUUGCAGGCAAUCGGUGAAAUUGAUCUCCCUGUACAAAAGCAGGGAUAACCCCAUAAGACGAGAAGACCCUGUGGAACUUCAAAAUCAGCGACCACCCUAAAUAACAUACAAACCCAAUCCGGGCUCACGUACUUACAGGCUACUGGUCCGCAUUUUUCGGUUGGGGCGACCUUGGAGCAAAACAAAACCUCCAAACAUUAGACCACACCUCUAGACUGAGAGCAACCCCUCAACGUGCGAAUAGCACCCAGAUCCAAUAUAAUUGAUCAAUGGACCAAGCUACCCCAGGGAUAACAGCGCAAUCUCCUUCAAGAGUCCAUAUCGACGAGGAGGUUUACGACCUCGAUGUUGGAUCAGGACAUCCUAGUGGUGCAGCCGCUACUAAGGGUUCG
rnacentral:rRNA from 1 species